rnacentral:sRNA from 1 species
ACGUCAUCUUCGCGCGACGUUCGGUUCGCUGUGUGUGUCGCCGGCUCCUUGAGGGUCCAUGUGAUUUUUACGCCAGUGCUGCUGAACUGUGCAGGCUAGGGAGCUGGCACAGUCCGAUUAAUUGUCCUUGGGUCGAGGUGUCUCGUCGGACCCUUUGGGGCUCAGUGGAGAAUUAAGGCAAAGUCACUGUAAUUAUUUCUAAUACCAAUUCCAAAAUAGUGACUCUUGGACAAUAGUGCAAUUAUAUGGAAUUAUGGCUGGUUAUAAGCCUGUAGCUAUUCAGACAUAUCCUAUACUUGGUGAAAAAAUCACCCAAGAUACACUGUACUGGAACAACUAUAAGGUGAGUGUGGGACGUAAUGAGGGAGAAGGGAUUUGUGUUUAUGCCAAUUUCUCUAGCAUAUGUUAUACUCUGGAUGCUCUAACAGAAUUAUUAACUAAAAACCAUCUAUCAGCAGCUUAUAGUUUGGGCAGAUAAUUUGAUAUCUAUUUUUUCUUGGAAUUUUAUGUAAAAGUCCAUACUGCUUAAUCAGAUUAACCAUACAAAUGCCUAGCACAGAACAGAUGAUCAAUCAAUGCCAAAU